rnacentral:sRNA from 1 species
AUUAAUCCAUUGAUAAGGGGUAGUAAUUAAGUUUAGGUUCGUUAUAGAGAGCUAAGGAUGGUGGAAUCUUAGCAUGAAAAAACUUAAUGAAUGGGCCUUUGAGGAGUAAAGGGAAAUCUAUUUAGAGAGUACUAUUUACCGUGUCCUUCACGUUAUAGAAGGUAGAGUAU